UACGAAGGGUGCAAACGUUGCUCGGAAUUAUUGGGCGUAAAGCGCACGUAGGCGGCUUAGCAAGUCGGAAGUGAAAUCCCACGGCUCAACCAUGGAAGUGCUUUCGAAACUGCUGAGCUUGAGUACGAAAGAGGAUCGCGGAAUUCCCGGUGUAGAGGUGAAAUUCGUAGAUAUCGGGAGGAACACCAGUGGCGAAGGCGGCUCACUGGUCCGGUACUGACGCUGAGGUGCGAAAGCGUGGGGAGCAAACAGG
rnacentral:rRNA from 1 species